GCGCGGCCGGGCCAUGUUCAGCCGGAGCUCGCGGAGGAGGCUGUGCGGCCGCCCGUUGGCUGGACUGGGGCGGAUAGAGAGAGGCCAGCCGUGUGGCGCCUGCGGUGACCAGUGCCCCGGGUUCGCCCUGCACAAAUGGAGGUUCUUUUGUCAAAUGGAGAGUGGGACCAGCCAAGGCACAGCUCAAACACUCUGGAUAACGGUGUCCACCUCAUAAAUGGUUCAGGGAUCUAACAAUCUAGGAAUCGUUCGGUGAAGCAAACAGACUAUAAGGAAAUCACCCUAAUACUAAGAGUGUUUGUAUUCAGUGACUGAGUUACACUAUUUCCCUUUUCCGGAAAUAACUUCCCUGGCUUUUCCAAACUGUAUAUAUCACACAUUUAUUAUUACACAGUAAUUUGAC
rnacentral:lncRNA from 1 species